AUUGAACGCUGGCGGCAGGCUUAACACAUGCAAGUCGAGCGGAGAUGAGGUGCUUGCACCUUAUCUUAGCGGCGGACGGGUGAGUAAUGCUUAGGAAUCUGCCUAUUAGUGGGGGACAACAUUCCGAAAGGAAUGCUAAUACCGCAUACGUCCUACGGGAGAAAGCAGGGGAUCUUCGGACCUUGCGCUAAUAGAUGAGCCUAAGUCGGAUUAGCUAGUUGGUGGGGUAAAGGCCUACCAAGGCGACGAUCUGUAGCGGGUCUGAGAGGAUGAUCCGCCACACUGGGACUGAGACACGGCCCAGACUCCUACGGGAGGCAGCAGUGGGGAAUAUUGGACAAUGGGGGGAACCCUGAUCCAGCCAUGCCGCGUGUGUGAAGAAGGCCUUAUGGUUGUAAAGCACUUUAAGCGAGGAGGAGGCUACUGAGACUAAUACUCUUGGAUAGUGGACGUUACUCGCAGAAUAAGCACCGGCUAACUCUGUGCCAGCAGCCGCCGCCG
rnacentral:rRNA from 1 species